UCUGGUGAUGAUGGCGAAGAGGUCACACCCGUUCCCAUACCGAACACGGAAGUUAAGCUCUUCAGCGCCGAUGGUAGUCGGGGGUUUCCCCCUGUGAGAGUAGGACGCCGCCAAGC
rnacentral:rRNA from 1 species